AACCUCAUCGACCAGAAGGGAUUCCUUCCGGUUGAUGAGGUGUAACAACCUCAUCGACCGGAAGGAAUUCCUUCUGAUUGAUGAGGUG
rnacentral:miRNA from 1 species